GAUGAACGCUGGCGGCGUGCCUAAUACAUGCAAGUCGAGCGAACAGACGAGGAGCUUGCUCCUCUGACGUUAGCGGCGGACGGGUGAGUAACACGUGGAUAACCUACCUAUAAGACUGGGAUAAAUUCGGGAAACCGGAGCUAAUACCGGAUAAUAUAUUGAACCGCAUGGUUCAAUAGUGAAAGAUGGUUUUGCUGUCACUUAUAGAUGGAUCCGCGCCGCAUUAGCUAGUUGGUAAGGUAACGGCUUACCAAGGCAACGAUGCGUAGCCGACCUGAGAGGGUGAUCGGCCACACUGGAACUGAGACACGGUCCAGACUCCUACGGGAGGCAGCAGUAGGGAAUCUUCCGCAAUGGGCGAAAGCCUGACGGAGCAACGCCGCGUGAGUGAUGAAGGUCUUCGGAUCGUAAAACUCUGUUAUUAGGGAAGAACAAAUGUGUAAGUAACUAUGCACGUCUUGACGGUACCUAAUCAGAAAGCCACGGCUAACUACGUG
rnacentral:rRNA from 1 species